rnacentral:rRNA from 1 species
AUUCCAGCUCCAAUAGCGUAUACUAAAGUUGCUGCAGUUAAAAAGCUCGUAGUUGAAUUUCUGGUCGUGAAAAGUGGUCCGUUCCGCAAGGAAUGUGUACUGUCUAUUCAUGUCCAUCCUCGGAGUUAGUGUGUAUUACUUAAAUCGGUCGUGCAUGCAAUACUUCGUCAUUUACUGUGAGCAAAAUAGAGUGUUCAAAGCAGGCUUAUGCCGUUGAAUAUAUUAGCAUGGAAUAAUAAGAUAUGACUUUGGUCUAUUUUGUUGGUUUGCACUCCAAAGUAAUGAUUAAUAGGGACAGUCAGGGGCACUCGUAUUCCGCCGAGAGAGGUGAAAUUCUCAGACCAGCGGAAGACGAACCACUGCGAAAGCAUUUGCCAGGGAUGUUUUCAUUA